GGAAGACUCACUAACCGAGAAGAAGACUUUUGGAGGGAACUAGGCGUUUUGAAGAAGGAAAUUUUGUCAAUGAGUAAUUUAAAAAAAUGUUUAAUGUUAAUUUUCGAAGCUUUCUUUUGAAUUUCUUGUUUAUUGUAAUGUUGUUUCUAUGCGUUAAUGUUUAUGAAAGGAAUAAUUUUCAAACCAAAGCUUUUAUGCUAUGUUAAGUCUUAUGCGUGGUAAAUGUGUGAAAUGAUUGUUUGUAAACUAUUAGUUUUAUUCCUUAAAGCCAACUAUAUAUAAAUUAAAAGGAUUAUAUGGUGUAGUGAAGUUGGCCAAUGCAUGAAAGGAGUGUAUUGUGCUUGAAACAACAAAAAAUGAUCCAGAAAAUUCUUCGAGGGAUGCAGUUGAUGAAAAGAACAUCACAAUAGUCUAUGCGUGAGAAUAGUUCAUGUUCUUGGAGCAAUCAAAUAUGUGCAAGGCUGUUAGGGCGCAACAGCUUACAACCACAUAAGCGGCACAAAGUCAUUCCUUCAAAGACAAACAAAGCUCACUGAACUACAUGAUCAUCUGGUGGACCGUGUCGAGUUAUUCAUAGAAACACACUCUAGUAGUACUGGUGAGUUCGUUUCACCAGCAAUAGAGGAUGCUUUUUCUCAACCCGUCCUAGAGGGUUCUUAACCACUAAUUGAGGAGGAGACAUGCGAGAGAGUUUUAGGUAGACGACAGGGCUACACAAAAGGUUUUGGUUGAGUCCAAAAUCCAAGUCUAGGAUGAGUUUCGCUUCAUCUUGUAUGACCACCAGACACACAUGGCAGAGGUUAGUGAACUAAAGGAGAGUCUUGAACAUGCUAACUCCAACAUAAUUUUAGAACAACCCUUGAGAGAAGAGAAGUGAGAUCAACAAAUGGCGGACCAUGCACAACAAAUGGAGGAGAUGAAAAAGAUGAUCGAGGAGAUGAGUCGAGCAUAGAGAGGAUCGUGAUCACUUGAGGUUUGGCGUCCGUAACUAGAGCACUAGAGUAUAAUAUAGUUUUCGGGUUUUUUUUUUUUGUUAAUGUAAUUGUUUUUGUAUUGAACAUAUUUCGUGUAUAUUGUUUAUAAUUAACUAAAAUAUUUUGAUUUUCAUCAUUUACGGCAAAUUUUGCCAACUUUGGGUUGAAGUAAAUUAACUAAAACAAUAAUUACACAAAAACAAAAGAAAUAAAAUAAAAUAAAUAAUAAAUUAACUAAACAAAAACAUAAUAUUAAAAGCUUCCCUGACGCACGUUUGUCACAUCGGAGAAGCCUUUUUGCAAUGUCACGUCGGGAAAAGUCUUCCUCGACGUGCUGACAAAGUGCGUCUGUGAAAUUUUUUCCGUCGUUGACGUGAUCUGCGUCGAAAAAAGUAUCUCCGACAUAGUUGUCGAUGUCGAUAAACCUUCUCCAAUGUUGUUUAGAGUUUUGGCCGACAUGGGGCUCCACCGAAAAAGACCCUAUUUCUUGUAUUGGAUGUGUGUAAGGACAGAACAUAUGUGUGAAAAUACUCAGUUGGUAGCUUAUAGAACAAAUUUUCUUGUACUCCUCUACAUUAUCAUAUUGUAGCAUUUUAAUGUCAGCUUUGUAUUGUAACUUAAAUCAUUGUGACGAAAUGUUCAAAAGCCUUUACAACGUCACCCUUGAGUUGUAAAGGAUAGAGCCAAACAAACCUGGUAUGAUCAUAUCAAGAAAAAAGAAUGAAUAAGAUUAAACAAAUUCAGAGCACAAGACUCAAAUUCAGAAAAUGGCAGAGCAUGUGAUUUACCAAGUUAAGUUGAUAUGAAUGACAGAAAUAAAUAUUUUCAUUUCUUUUGAAGUUCAGAUUACAUCCUUCAAGGGGUGUCCUAAUCAUUGAUGUCUGACUAGUCUAGAAACAACACUAUUGAGGAGAUUUACUAAUAUCCAUAGCAUCAGAAACACAUUUAGACGUCCCUGCAACAUCCUCAAAUUUGUAGAGGCCUUCAU